UGGGGAAUAUUGCACAAUGGGCGCAAGCCUGAUGCAGCCAUGCCGCGUGUAUGAAGAAGGCCUUCGGGUUGUAAAGUACUUUCAGCGGGGAGGAAGGCGUUGUGGUUAAUAACCACAGCGAUUGACGUUACCCGCAGAAGAAGCACCGGCUAACUCCGUGCCAGCAGCCGCGGUAAUAAGGAGGGUGCAAGCGUUAAUCGGAAUUACUGGGCGUAAAGCGCACGCAGGCGGUCUGUUAAGUCAGAUGUGAAAUCCCCGGGCUCAACCUGGGAACUGCAUUUGAAACUGGCAGGCUUGAGUCUCGUAGAGGGGGGUAGAAUUCCAGGUGUAGCGGUGAAAUGCGUAGAGAUCUGGAGGAAUACCGGUGGCGAAGGCGGCCCCCUGGACGAAGACUGACGCUCAGGUGCGAAAGCGUGGGGAGCAAACA
rnacentral:rRNA from 1 species